AAGCUGCAGAAAUACCAAGAAGAUUAUAGAUUGCUGAUCCAAGGAUGGUGCUGACGCCGAUAUCUCCCUUUGUCACGAAGACUCCUAUAAGGAAAAUGACUCCCUGGGAAAUCCAUGCUACUGUGUCUUCAGAAAUACUAGUUAAAUUCAAGCCAGUGCUACGAUCUUAAAAUCAAAUUUUCACUUCGUACGGACAGUGUAAGAGCCUGUGUCUUGCUUGAGUGAAAUGAAAUUUUUGUUCUGGUAAGUUGACUGUUUCUGAAAUGUAACCAACAUUGUGGAUUGAGUUCUGCCCGCUGAGCACAGGGGUGUGUGGCUAACUGUGGAAAAAAGUCUGACAAAUGCUUAUUUAUCAUCAAUAAAAUACAGCUGUACAGCAGUG